rnacentral:lncRNA from 1 species
GUUUAUUCCCAUCUCAAAGGUCUUAGGGCAGUGGAUGCCGCCUUUGCUUCUGUUUGCUGCAGCCUGUUUGAGUGGCAGGCUCUUUGCCCUCGUUGGCCAGUCCCCACAUUCUGGUGACGCUUUUCUCCUGCCUCUUGGCCCCCAGUCACAUUUUCCAUGGUGACUCUUUCAACCUCAGCCUUCACGUUUCAAGUCAUGCAUCCACUUUGUUUUCCUGUUUCAGUAGACCCCCCUCUGAGUUUACUGAGCACUUUGAGACCACUUGGUACCAGGGCACAGCCUCCUCAUCUCCAAACGCAUGGGUUCCAUCACAAGCGGGCCUGAUCGCACAUGGCAGCUCUCGUCUCCCAGUUAUUGCAUGCACAUGUGUGUUUGGCCAGGUUGGCUUUAGGUUCAUUAAAGGCAGUGCCUUUUCUUCAUGUUUUAUUUCUCUCCAUCUGCAAUGUGUUGUGGAGUGGAGGCACCGUCCGUUCACGCACUCAGGCCUUCAGAACGUAGCUCCCGAGUGCUUGCUGUGGGCCCCAUUCCACCUGCUGGCUGAGUGGUGAACAAAGCUCAAGGAGCUGCCUCCUCCAAGCGAAGGGAGGACACCAGGCACAACAGCGUAGAGUGUGGAGUCAGGAGCGUUUGGAGAAAAGCAAACAGGAAAGGUUCCAGGCUUCCGAAACAACCCUCAGCUUCAAUGAUUCACUGGAUGGACUUGUGGAAUUCCCUGAGAGCUGCUGUGCACAUGCUGACAGUUUAUCACAGGGCAAGGGUACAGAUAAAAUAAGCUGGGGCCAGAGCACACGGGGCGGCAUCCAGGAGAAGCCCUGAGGCAGCACUUCCAUCACACUCGGCCCAGGAUGAGCUGCUUCCUUGGCCUCCGUGUGUGACAACCCGC